rnacentral:rRNA from 1 species
CAUUUCGAACGCACAUUGCGGUCCGGGCCCCCCGUGGUUCGGACCUCAUUCGUCUGAGGGUCGUUACGUAACGAAAUAUCGCGUUUGCGUAAUGCAAACGCGGGAUAGCGACGGUAUUCCGCUUCCGUAACUCGCCCGUUAACUCGGGCGUGGCGAGGACACUAGUUGCGGACGUUGACCUAGUUACCAGCCAGGUUGCUCCUACCAUGCACCCCUCUGUCGUUCCGUGCUUUGCCUCUAAUGGCGCGCGGCUGGACGGUCCGGGUUAGGCGGAACACGCGGGUAAACCGCUCAAGUGUUUCUGACCAGUAAAUCCCUACGGAUCGACCGGUGAAGGCAGUGUGGGCUCGUGGAUGUGUGUAACCCCGAAGGCUUCUGGCGGGAUAGGCUUGAAAAAGCGCCUCUGGCGUGUGCCGGCGCGGUCUCCCGUUACAUAAAGGAAUGUCCUUUUCAAAGCAAAACCCUGCAAGUCUUCUGACAGACUUUUCGACCUCAGAUCGAGUGAGACUACCCGCUGAACU